UACGUAGGGUGCGAGCGUUAAUCGGAAUUACUGGGCGUAAAGCGUGCGCAGGCGGUUUUGUAAGUCGGGUGUGAAAUCUCGGGGCUUAACUCCGAAACUGCAUUCGAUACUGCCGUGCUUGAGGACUGGAGAGGAGACUGGAAUUUACGGUGUAGCGGUGAAAUGCGUAGAUAUCGUAAGGAAGACCAGUGGCGAAGGCGGGUCUCUGGACAGUUCCUGACGCUGAGGCACGAAGGUCAGGGGAGCAAACGGG
rnacentral:rRNA from 1 species